rnacentral:rRNA from 1 species
UUCCUCUUGUAUUUAAUUUGAGGUAUGGCCUGCCCACUGAUUAUUAAAGGGCCGCGGUAUUUUGACCGUGCAAAGGUAGCAUAAUCAUUAGUUUUUUAAUUGAAAGCUUGUAUGAAUGGUUGGACGAAGAAUUUUCUGUUUCUUUUAUAUUUUUUGAAUUUAAAUUUUAAGUUAAAAUGCUUAAAUUUUUUAAUGGGACGAGAAGACCCUAUAGAGUUUUAUGGGCCUGUUUUAUUUUGUUUUUUUAUUUAUAUUUUUUGGUCUAUUUUAUUGGGGCGAUAGGAAGAUUUGUUUAACUCUUUUUUUAAUUAAUUAUUUAUCUGUAAUUUUUUGAUCUUUUAUUAUUGAUUGUAAGAUAAAAUUACCUUAGGGAUAACAGCGUAAUCUUUUUUUAGAGUUCUUAUUGGUAAAGGGGGUUGCGA